UAUAAGCUGCCUCGGCCCACUCCCUCCUUGUCAGAUUGUCUACACUACUAUGCUAAGUCAUCUUGCUUUCUUCACUGGACUGCCUUCCUGGUUUCUGAUCAGCUUGUCUUCGACCAUCGCUCCUCGUCUCUGCCCCGGUAAACCCACCAGCCUUCUGUCCCUGACUCUGAGUUCUGCCUGCCUGUUCCCUGGUCUUUGUCUGCUGUGGUAGUGGAAGAUCGGGGUUCAAUUUCCGGUGGAGUCAUACUCCUUAGAACUGUGUUUCUCCGACCGUGCUUAUAUUGCCUUGACAUCGUGUGAAAUAAAGACUGCUAAGUUUAUACCAGUGUCAUUUGUGCUGCUAUUGGGUCCAUCCUAUACCCGUUACAGUAGGAGUGGGACGAAUGUCUCCUUGAGAGCUCUCCGGAGGUGAGAUGUUAAUCGCUUGGAAAAGAGCCGCGUCCGAGAGGGCCAUUGCGUGGAUGCGUGUGGAGCGUCUGGAUCUCAGCUGAUCAGAAGCGUGGCGUCUGGAGGAGAAGGGUUCCAUGUGGUGGUGAAGGAGAUAUCUCGUUGGUACUGCUGGAUCUAGUCGUGGGCGGUAUGUUGCCGAGGAACGUGGACCACUCAGCACGAGCGGGAGCUGCUUCCGUCAUGCGGUCAGAGGCUACUGUGGAGAGAGGAGAGACAGGCGACGAUACAGACAUACCAUGCACAAAGGCUGAAUUGGGGAGGCGGUUGCCAGCAGAGCCGGUGAUGUGUGAGGGAUUGGAUCAACCCUUUCUGGAGAUCCAGCAGGCUGGUUUCGCCACCAUGCACCGUAGCACGCAGUGGACUCCAUCCACAACCGCCUCCUCUGGAUGGACUCCCAGGCGCAUCCAUUGCAUGUCUCAAUAAGCAGCAGCCUGGACAGACAUGCCACUGCAGUGGAGCAGCAGUCCACCUUACCACCUCCCAGGCCUGACAACGUGGACACUGCACCUGUGAUGGCAUCCACCAGUGCCCCCCACCCCCCCACUCACUGUUUGCCACCUAGUCUUUCUCCUCGAAGAGAAAAUAAAUUAAGUUUUAUCUUUGUGUUUGCGUAAGUUUUCUGCACAUAAUAAAUUUGCCACAUUUUCUUGGGUCA